rnacentral:rRNA from 1 species
GACGGAGGGGGCAAGCGUUGUCCGGACUCACUGGGCGUAAAGGGUGCGUAGGCGGUCCUGUUUGUCGGCACUGAAAGCGCACGGCUUAACCGAGCGAGGCGUGCCGCGACGAUGGGACUGGAGGCAGCGAGAGGGUGGGGGAACUCCUGGUGUAGUGGUGAAAUGCGUAGAGAUCAGGAAGAACACCCGUGGCGCAAGCGCCCACCUGGCGCUGACCUGACGCUGAGGCACGAAAGCGUGGGGAGCGAACCGG